CAUUCACGUAAUAAUGCGUAGUUGUAAUGUAGUGAUUACGAAGAUAAUUUUACAUGGAUAUAAUGGCGAACGCUGUAUGUAGUUAUGCGAUCAAGCUUAACUUAUGCAAUUUGGAGGCUAACUACGCAGUUCGUUUUCGGUGAUCGCAACGGGAAGAAAACAUAUUUUUGAGAGAGGACGUUUAUAUGGCGAUUGUGAAGUUUUAAUUGUCACCACUCGAGUUAAUCCGUCGUCUCCCGGAUGGCAUUCUACGAUCCGUCCCCGUUCCCAGUUACUGGGAGGUAAAUUCGGGUUACGGAUUAGUACAAGCUGGCCUACCUUGGCGAGGUUUUGUAUUGUUCGCCAUUUUGGGCGUUGGUGAAGUGUAUGAAGUACGCUUGGUUCCGGAUUAGCGACGAGAGGAGUGUCAAUUAGAAAAUGACCUGGUGUUAGAGCGGAAAAAUCAUCCAGACAGUCUGACACUGCUCCUAGUGGUCUCGAAUUGAGACAUGCUUCGACACGACACAGAACGGUUGUUAAUUCCUCAAAGAGCGAAACGCAGACUCGAGUUCGCGAUUCGCGCCUUGGAACGUUGUACCGUUGUCCGAAUAGAGUUUUGAUGGAAGACCACGCCGGGACACAAAUCUAUGGCAAACGAAUACGGCAAUGUAUGCCUUGGUAGAUUUGUGCCCUCGGCCAGGAGCGGUUCGGACGAGAAUCGGACCUGCAUAGUCGACGCCGGUAUGAAUGAACGGACGCUCUACCCUUGUAACGCGAGGCUCGGGCAAGUCUCCCAUGAGCUCGUGGGGUAUGGCGGCCCUUUCCCGUGCGCACUCCACGCAUUUGUAGAGGACUGCUCGAAUGGUCGUUCUCGCUCUGAGGAUCCAAUAUUCACCUCGGAGAUGAGCGAGAAGGAGUUGAGGACCGGCAUGAAGUAGGCUUCGGAAGGUGCGAAUUCACGAGUCGCCCCUUUGCUCGGAUUAACCCAUCUGGAUCGAGGUAUGGGUUCAGUGAGAUUAGAGGACUCGAUUUUGGGACUUGUUUCAAUUCCCGGAGACGCGAUAGUUCGGCUGGGAACGCAUCGCCCUGGAUCCUUCUUAGCCAAAACAGUUUUGAGUGACGGAUCUCGUCAGGGGUCAGCACUAUGGACGUGAGAUUGCUCGGUGUUAACAUGGGCGACGAUGGAAGAUCCUCGAUCUCUCAAAAUUUCCGGAGACUCUGAUCCAGACGGUCUAGGACUGAAACAUGGUGGAAAUGGAUUGAGAGAUCGGGAUUGAGAGGAAGAGGACCCGAUAGUAUCCAUCCGAGCGUGGUGUUUUGAGCUGUGGGUGCGCACGUCGAGCCCUUCCUUACCCCUUGCAGCAAUAGUUGUCCGUAUAGAUCGGCUCCAAUUAUCAUACUAAUUGGUUCUGAGCUCAUGGGGUCCUCGUCAGCGAGUUCAAGUCCUAAAAGGUAGAUGACUCACGGUUUUACUGGCUUCGCCCUUGAGGGAAGAGCACAAAAAAUGCAGGCGCUCCACAUUUGACAGCGACUGGUUGUUGAUUACCAUAGAGGUGAACUUGUCUCGGAAACUCUCCCACUCUGCAUAAUCCCCUUCAAAUGUUGGCAAGUUGAUCCUUGGAAGGUGAGCCGUUGGUCGUGACGUCAUGGAAUUCGAACAUUGUCCGUUGGCUGCUGAACUUUCAGGUGGAGGUGUGACCUUCGAGAGCGUUUCCGCCAUAAAGUCUAGGGCUUCCUGGAACGUUUCUUCGCAUUUUGCAAACUGGUCCUCGACGAAAUACGGUGCAUUUGCUUUCGUCUUCUGGUCAGCACAGGCAGAGAGUUUAGCAUCUAGGUCUUGACACUGAUGAAAUGUUUCUUUCAGCAAUCCCAUGCGGUUCUAGGUAACUGUUGCGGUCAUUUUGGACUGACCCAGUUUUUUGAAAUUGGCGAGCGAUCGUUCUACCGACCGCAUUGCUUGUGUUUGUUUGUAAUAGAGUUCUUCAAACGAGCUCAUGGUGACUCGUUUUUCGGCUUGCUGACUCGUUUUUCGGCUUGCUGACUCGUUUUUCCUCGAUGCCAAUCCGGCUCGAAGGACCAAUGUUUCGUGCGGAUGGAUGAAUGUGGUGCUGAAAGCCUUUAUCGAAAGGACUGACGAUCGAGUAGAGCCGUUUGGAAUCGGUUGAAGUGAAGAACUCGUAUUAUGAACGAUUAUUGUAUUGUAUAAUUCACAAAUGUAACAAACACAAUGACGAAAUACAGAACGGAAACCUUAGAACUUAACACAAAGAACUUGAAACGAACUUGAAUACUUGGUAACGAAAGACCGUUGGGUUGGUGUGAGUUUGAAUAAGAGCGUUGGUGUUAAUCGGUUGAUUGGUUAAAUUAUUCUGAUUACCGCGAGCGCUUCGUUAGUGCGAGCGGGCGGUGGUUGGUUUAUUCGGCGCAAGAGCGCGUGGUUGUCACGCGUUAGUAUGACGCGAUUUGAACGGAACAAUAUCUAAUGUAGAUAUGCCAAUAAUGAUAUUCUUAUUAAAUGUAUAUUUCAUUAUAUCUCAUGUAGAUAUAGUAAUAAUGACAUUGUUAUUAAAUAUACAUUGAAC